UAAGGAAUAUUGGUCAAUGGAGGAAACUCUGAACCAGCCAUCCCGCGUGAAGGAUGAAGGGGCUCUGCCUUGUAAACUUCUUUUGUCUGGGACGAAAAAGCCCCGUUUACGGGGAACUGACGGUACCAGAAGAAUAAGCACCGGCUAACUCCGUGCCAGCAGCCGCGGUAAUACGGAGGGUGCAAGCGUUAUCCGGAAUCACUGGGUUUAAAGGGUGCGUAGGCGGCUUAGUAAGUCAGUGGUGAAAGGCUGUGGCUUAACCAUGGAAUGGCCAUUGAUACUGCCGAGCUUGAAUGAGGUUGAGGUUAGCGGAAUGUGACAUGUAGCGGUGAAAUGCUUAGAUAUGUCAUGGAACACCAAUUGCGAAGGCAGCUAACUGGACCUAUAUUGACGCUGAGGCACGAAAGCGUGGGUAGCGAACAGG
rnacentral:rRNA from 1 species